UCUCACUCUGUCACCCAGGCUGGAGUGCCGUGGCAAGAUUUCGGCCCACUGCAUCUUCAACCUCCAAGGCUCAGGUUGGCAGCAUAUCCUCCUGGUGGGGAGAAGUUUGUAUGUAGCACCAAGGCAGUCUGAACCCUAGGUAUGAGGGUCCCCAGCCUCAGCAAAAAAUCAUGGGAUAUGAGAAAGUGACCAACUUCAAUCUCAAAGGUAAGUCUUAGGCAAGAAGUAUGUCAGCAUGGGAGUUCUUAUAAUCUCAGAUGCGCUAAAAAAG
rnacentral:lncRNA from 1 species